GUCUUCCUGAUAAAAUAGGAAGUCUGACCUGCCCAGUGAAAAUAUUUUAACGGCCGCGGUAUAUUGACCGUGCAAAGGUAGCAUAAUCAUUAGUCUUUUAAUAGAGGGCUGGAAUGAAGGGUUUAACGAAGUACUUACUGUCUCAUUUAAUUUGAUAUUAAAAUUUACUUUUUCAGUCAAAAAGCUGAAAUAUUAUUGGAAGACGAGAAGACCCUAUAGAGCUUUAUAUUUAAUUUUUUAAUAAAUUUUUGUUAUAAUUAUUAUUUAUUAUUUAAUAAAAUAUUUUGUUGGGGUGACAAAAAUAUAUAAUCAACUUUUUUAUUUAUAUAACAUUGAUAUAUGAAAAAUAGAUCCAGUUUUACUGAUUAUUAGAAUAAGUUACCUUAGGGAUAACAGCGUAAUCUUCCUUUAGAGUUCAUAUUCACAGGGAGGCUUGCGACCUCGAUGUUGGAUUAAGAUUAUAAUUAGGUGUAGCCGCUUAAAAAAUAGGUCUGUUCGACCUUUAAAUUCUU
rnacentral:rRNA from 3 species